rnacentral:rRNA from 1 species
UACGUAGGUGACAAGCGUUGUCCGGAUUUACUGGGCGUAAAGAGCGCGCAGGCGGUCGUUCAAGGCGAGUGUGAAAGCCCCCGGCUCAACUGGGGAGGGUCACUCGAUACUGAUCGACUCGAAGGCAGGAGAGGGAAGUGGAAUUCCCGGUGUAGUGGUGAAAUGCGUAGAUAUCGGGAGGAACACCAGUGGCGAAGGCGACUACCUGGCCUGUUCUUGACGCUGAGGCGCGAAAGCUAGGGGAGCAAACGGG